CAGCAGCCGCGGGAAAACGGAGGGUGCAAGCGUUAAUCGGAAUUACUGGGCGUAAAGCGUGCGUAGGCGGUUCGUUAAGUCUGUUGUGAAAGCCCCGGGCUCAACCUGGGAAUGGCAAUGGAUACUGGCGAGCUAGAGUGGGUCAGAGGAUAGUGGAAUUUCCGGUGUAGCGGUGAAAUGCGUAGAUAUCGGAAGGAACACCUGUGGCGAAAGCGGCUCACUGGACCAUUUCUGACGCUGAUGCACGAAAGCUAGGGGAGCAAACAGGAUUAGAGACCCGAGUAGUCCCUGUCUCUUAUAC
rnacentral:rRNA from 1 species